GGUGGUAAAGCUCAGUGGGAGAGCAUGUGCUCAGCAUGCACUAAGUCCUGGGUUCAAUCCCCAGUACUUCCA
rnacentral:tRNA from 1 species